AUGGCUCAGCUGCAGUCCAAGGCGGCCGAGGCGACGAGGUUCGCGGCCAAGCACGGGGGUGCGCUGCAGUCCGAGGCGGCAAGCUUCGCGGCCAAGCACGGGGCCACUCUGCAGUCCAAGGCGUCCGAGGCGGCAAGCAUUGCGGCCAAGCAUGGGGCGACGCUGCAGUCCAAGGCGUCCGAGGCGGCAAGCUUCGCGGCCAAGCACGGGGGCGCGCUGCAGUCCAAGGCGUCCGAGGCGGCGAGCUUCGCGGCCAAGCAAGGGAGCGCGAUGCAGUCCAAGGCGGCCGAGGCGGCGAGCUCCGCGGCCAAGCAAGGGCGCGAGUACCACAGGACGCUCAUGGAGAGGAACAAGCAGUACGUCGUCGACCCGCCCACCGUCGAAAAGUGCCAGGAGCUCUCCAAGCAGCUCUUCUACACCCGCCUCGCCAGCAUUCCUGGCCGUUACGAGGCUUUCUGGAAAGAGGUUGAUGCUGUAAAGCUCUUGCUGAAAAACAGAAAGGACCUGAAGGCUGAGCAUGCCGGGGUUGCCGCAUUGUUUGGCAUUGAGUUGUAUGCAUGGCUUCGUGCCGGUGAGUUUAUUGGUAGAGGAUUUACCCUCACAGGUUGA
rnacentral:rRNA from 1 species